GAUGAAGAACGUAGCGAAAUGCGAUACGUAAUGUGAAUUGCAAAUUCAGUGAAUCAUCGAGUCUUUGAACGCACAUUGCGCCCGUCGGCAUUCCGGCGGGCACGCCUGUCCGAGCGUCAUCAGGAACCCAUCGGGCGGUCCCCUCGGGGACCGCCCGGCGUUGGGGCGCGCCGCCCGCGCCGUCAGGCGAAAGGCGGCGGCCCUCGAACCCAUCGGCGGUGCAUCGACGCGAGACCGACCGGCGUUGCGGAAUCGUCAAUCCGCCGGCGGCCGUCGAAGCUCCCUUCCGAAAGCUCCACGAGACGAAAAGGACCUCGGAUCAGGCGGGGUUACCCGCUGAACUUAAGAAUAUCAAUAAGCGGAGGA
rnacentral:misc_RNA from 1 species